rnacentral:rRNA from 1 species
GUAGUUAGCCGGGGCUUCCUCCCUGGGUACCGUCAUUUUUUCGUCCCCAAGGACAGAGGUUUACAACCCGAAAGCCUUCUUCCCUCACGCGGCGUUGCUGGGUCAGGGUUUCCCCCAUUGCCCAAUAUUCCCCACUGCUGCCUCCCGUAGGAGUCUGGACCGUGUCUCAGUUCCAGUGUGGCCGAUCACCCUCUCAGGUCGGCUACCCAUCGUCGGCUUGGUGGGCUGUUAUCUCACCAACUACCUAAUGGGACGCGAGCCCAUCUACGAGCAAUAAAUCUUUGACCCCUCUAUCAUGCGAUAAUGUGGUCUUAUGCGGUAUUAGCAGUCGUUUCCAACUGUUGUCCCCCACUCGUAGGCAGGUUGCUCACGCGUUACUCACCCGUCCGCCACUAAGUCUAUCAUCAAUCCGUCCGAAAACUUCAUGUCGAUAGCUUCGUUCGACUUGCAUGUGUUAAGCACGCCGCCAGCGUUCGUCCUGAGCCAGAAUCGAACCCUGA